CUUUGGAUGAUGGAGCUGGAAUCCAGCCCCAGGACUGGCUGGCUCCGAAUCCCAUCCUCCAAACCUCAAGGAUGCACUGCCUCCCUAAGGAAAACUAAUGGUGAGGCUGGACAAGACUGCACAGCGUAGGAACCAAGAUUGGUGGCCACCGCAGAGGACCCCACAAGGUCUGGGGACUCAGUGCAACACAAAUCAAAGGGCUCAAGCCCAGCUGUGUUACCUCAACCCAACCUGCCUAAAUCUCCCCGUUUUCCUUCCCCAUCAGGACCUACAAUGAUCAAGGCUGCGUGCUCCCCUCCAGGCUGCGUGCUCCCCUGCAUCCUGACCUCAUCUGAGAGGUGAGGAACCUGCCUGAAGUCCCAAAUGGAUGAACUGACGUUGGAGCCUGGACGAGCAUGUGACAUAAUUCCCCCUGUAAUGGGCAGGGAUCACAGCCUCAGGAAAGAAAAUACAUAACAGAAGCUCGGGAAAUUCCUUAAUGAGAACCAAGCGAUAAUAUAGGGUGACCAGAGAAGAACAGUAAAACCCAGUAAUUCAGCCAGCCUAAGCCAGGUGUCUAAACAGAAGUAACUCAGAAUGUGUCCUGAGAAUAUGAGGUCCUCACAAGAAGACCUUUUAAGGGAAGUAAUGGUUCUCCCACCUGAAGUUUCCGGUCACAGAGUCUAGCUCAGCCGUCCAGUUGCAAAGAUCCUAAACUUUCACCAUUCAGCCAGCCUCCAAGGGUGACCCAGGUGUACAGAACUUCUUCUGUCUGCAGAGUACUCAGACUGGCAGUUCUUGCCCACAGCCGCAGGUCUCUUGGACCCCACAAGGGAAACCAGGACCCCCAGAGCAUCCAGACUCUGAGCACACACAUUUUGGGGUUUCCCCAGCAAUGACACAAGGCAAUGCUAUUCUGAUCCCUGUUCCAAGAACGAACUCUGCAGGGGACUCACCAAGAGGGGACUUGAAAAUGUAGCGCGACUCAAUUUCACUGAAUGUUUGGGUAGAUGGAGGUAUAGGAAGAAGAAAGAGGAUUGUCUUUCAGUAUUAGUUUUGAUUUCUGUUUUGGAUGGAAAUGUGUUUCUCUGGUACAGAAUUCAGAAGGGACUACAGUGAAAGCAAGUCCUUUCAUCAUCUGCCUUCUGAUUACCCAGCUACUUCCCUGUCUUCCUCAGAAGCUACCCAUUUCUCAUGUACCUUCGCAUGGUUAGUCAUUGCUUAUAUAAGCAACACAUACGUGUAUACGUUCUCGUUUCUCUUUUAAAAGAUACAAAUAGUAGCAAACUAUACACAUUGUUCUGCACCUUGUUUUUCUUUUUUUUUUAAAACAAUGUAUCUUGGAGAUCUUUCCAUGUCAGUAAUUAAGUGCUGCCCAUUUUUUCCCCCAAAAGACAUGUUAUGAAUAUCCUGUGUAAGCUGUCUCCUAGGAGGCAUGUUUAUAAGUCGUUGCCCGUCUUUCACAAUUACCCACAGCACCUAUCUUAAAGCAACUUUGGGUUAGAGCAAUUUGGAAUCUAGAGCCAUGAAAUCUGCAAUAAAAAUAUU